AGUGAACGCUGGCGGUAGGCCUAACACAUGCAAGUCGAACGGCAGCACAGUAAGAGCUUGCUCUUACGGGUGGCGAGUGGCGGACGGGUGAGGAAUACAUCGGAAUCUACUUUUUCGUGGGGGAUAACGUAGGGAAACUUACGCUAAUACCGCAUACGACCUACGGGUGAAAGCAGGGGAUCUUCGGACCUUGCGCGAUUGAAUGAGCCGAUGUCGGAUUAGCUAGUUGGCGGGGUAAAGGCCCACCAAGGCGACGAUCCGUAGCUGGUCUGAGAGGAUGAACAGCCAAACUUGAACUGAGAAACGGGCCAGACCCCUAAGGGGGGCAGGAGUGGGGAAUAUUGGACAAUGGGCGCAAGCCUGAUCCAGCCAUACCGCGUGGGUGAAGAAGGCCUUCGGGUUGUAAAGCCCUUUUGUUGGGAAAGAAAAGCAGCAGGUUAAUACCCCGCUGUUCUGACGGUACCCAAAGAAUAAGCACCGGCUAACUUCGUG
rnacentral:rRNA from 1 species